rnacentral:rRNA from 1 species
AGUGAACGCUGGCGGUAGGCCUAACACAUGCAAGUCGAACGGCAGCACAGUAAGCGCUUGCUCUUACGGGUGGCGAGUGGCGGACGGGUGAGGAAUACAUCGGAAUCUACUUUUUCGUGGGGGAUAACGUAGGGAAACUUACGCUAAUACCGCAUACGACCUACGGGUGAAAGCAGGGGAUCUUCGGACCUUGCGCGAUUGAAUGAGCCGAUGUCGGAUUAGCUAGUUGGCGGGGUAAAGGCCCACCAAGGCGACGAUCCGUAGCUGGUCUGAGAGGAUGAUCAGCCACACUGGAACUGAGACACGGUCCAGACUCCUACGGGAGGCAGCAGUAGGGAAUAUUGGACAAUGGGCGCAAGCCUGAUCCAGCCAUACCGCGUGGGUGAAGAAGGCCUUCGGGUUGUAAAGCCCUUUUGUUGGGAAAGAAAAGCAGUGGGUUAAUACCUCGCUGUUCUGACGGUACCCAAAGAAUAAGCACCGGCUAACUUCGUG